CAUGUUUUGAUACACAACAAAAUGAUGAUGACUCUCAGUUUUUCUCUGGUGGAGAUAAUACAAACUUAGGCCGGCUUCCUUCUUCCCACUAGCAUGCGAAAUGCUCUGCAAUUUUUGGAGGACAAGUUUGCAUCUCUUGGAAAAGAAAAAGACAGAUCACACUGCAAUUACAAAUCAUACGAGGUUCCUUAAUUCUCAAAGAGGUAAAAUCUAAUCAUUUGUACUCACUCAUGCUGUCUGUCUUCAUGAUCAACUAUAAGGAUAAGCCCAACUUUUCAGCAGAAGCUACUUGUUGUAGGAUCUGGAUCUGUUUUGUUACAAAUCAGUUCAAAUAUUGCUGUUUUGUUCUCAUUCACCAAAUAGAUGUUGGAAAAAUCAACUCAUUGUCAGAUCAUCCGAGAUGUUUAAGUUAAUAAUAAUAAUAUACUUGUCUA